UCUGCAAAAUUAUCUCAAUUUCUUGCACUAUUCACAAUGCAAUGGUUACAGAGAUGAUACACAUUUUGACUAUUGAUUGAUUGAUUGUCCUUUUGAGACAGGGUCUCUCUAUGCAAUUCAGGCUGGCCUUUAGCUCACUUUGUAGCCCAGGCUGGUCUCGAACUCGCAAAGAUCCUCCUGCCUCAGCCUCCGGAGUGCUGGGAUUACAGACGUGCCACCACGCCCGGCACCACAUUUUAAUCUUAGUCUAGAUGUGUAUUCUCUACCAGUUUCUUAAAUCUAGACAAUCAACACAACAACAAAGAAAGAUGCAUCUGGGGCAUCUGCUUAUUACUCUUGGUGAAUAUUCCAAGCUGUUGAGAGCUGAGGAUUACAUCUUCAGGACCUCCUGCACAAAGCCCCAAAAUGUGAAUGGAUGAGAAGAGAGGACUCACAAAAGCACUCACUAAAAACACAGAAGGAAAAUGUAUACCAACCUGUUUGCUGUUGCUAUAACAAAAUACCUGAUUCAGGACUUCCACUCACCAGCUGAGGAACGGGAGCCAGGCUCGCCCCGCUAUCCUGCCUCGGGAGAGACCCAGCCUCAACCCCACCACACUGCCCCUCUCCGCCGUCCUCCGGGCCGCAGCAGGCGCGCGCACGAGAGCCGCAGGGAUUUUUGAGGACCUGAGAGCGAAACCCAUCCAAAACGGGCCUGCGCAGUCCGAGUGAUCCAUAACCCCGCACGCGCGUGAUGCUGGGAGCCUUUCCUCCGGUCUCUGGACUCUGGCCUCACUGAGUCUCUGCUGCCUCCCAUCUCCGUCCUUUCUCCCUCUGGUCGGUCUCCCUCCCGUGUGCUGGAGUUAAGUCUCAAACAGCCCUUUUCCAGCAGGGGCCUGGUGGUGUAGGCCUGUAAUCCCAGCACUCUGGGAGGCUGAGGCAGGGAGAUAGCAAAUUCUGACCGAGUCUGGACAAAUUAGCCGUUUAGUGAGAGCUUGUCUCAAAAUAAAAUAUAAAAAAGAGCUGGGAAUGUGAUUCAGAGCGAAGGCCCUGGGUUCAAUCUCCAGUACCGAAGCGUGUGUCUGGGGGGUGGGGGUAGGCCCCUUCCCUUGGCCGGGAGAGCUGCGCUCCAGCCCCAGAGUUUCCGUACUGGAGUUCGCCUUCUCCCUGACUGGCGCUGGAAGAAAAGCGCUCUUUGAUCAGUCGGAGUUCUGAUUGGCCCGGCGACAGAUAAGGGGUGGAGCAAACGGACUGACAGGCGAGUCAGAGGGCUGCGGACCCAGGGGAAGAGGUUCGCCGCAGCCCGCGAAGCUCCGCAAACGAACGUUCUGAGUCCUUUAACUCCUAACAGCUUACCUCUCCCUGAGUCUCCCCUGCCAACGGCGGGUCCUCCUCGACUUAGCAUCCCCCACCCCAGCUGUGCACAUUCAAGGGGUUUGCAGCUCCCCAGCUCGGGUCACUCCUCCAUGUGAAGCAGUGUAGCUUCACCUCCCUGCUGUGCCCGGGCAGGUCACCUUCCACAGAAACCCGAGCGAGACCGUCUCCCUAGGAGAAGACACUGACCUUGAGUCCUCUGAUCCCUACCCAGGCCAGCGCCAGGAUGGCCGGGAUUUGCACCCAAAGCCGCUGGUGUGGGGACAGCAGGGCUGGCCACGGCUGCUCCUGGUCCUAGUCGUUCCUAGAGAAUUCAGAGCAGCACCCUGGACUCCGCCAGCCCGCACUGGGGCUCCUCCUGCCUCCCCCACGGUGAUGGCCGAACAUGGCCUUGCCAGGGCAGGAGGAGGAGAAGGAUCACCCCUCCUUUCUUCCCACCCUGGUUUGAGGCCCACUGGCCAGAAGGAACAGAGGUAAAGUUAGGGUCCAUAGCAGAGGGCGAAGGACACCUGAGAAUUCCCAGUGUCGGUUUCUCUCACACAAGGCUCCCAGGGCAUAUGGUUAGCUGACCUGGGGAAAAUCCAUCGGGAAUAAAAUUGUGACUGUCCCAGACACUCUGGAG
ensembl:lincRNA